rnacentral:rRNA from 1 species
CCUACGGGAGGCAGCAGUGGGGGAUAUUGCACAAUGGGGGAAACCCUGAUGCAGCGACGCCGCGUGUGGGAAGACGGUCCUCUGGAUUGUAAACCACUGUCCCCAGGGACGAAAAUGACGGUACCUGGGGAGGAAGCUCCGGCUAACUACGUGCCAGCAGCCGCGGUAAUACGUAGGGAGCGAGCGUUGUCCGGAAUUACUGGGUGUAAAGGGAGCGUAGGCGGGGAUGCAAGUUGGGUGUCAAAACUACCGGCUCAACUGGUAGUCGCACUCAAAACUGCAGCUCUUGAGUGAAGUAGAGGCAGGCGGAAUUCCUAGUGUAGCGGUGAAAUGCGUAGAUAGUAGGAGGAACACCAGUGGCGAAGGCGGCCUGCUGGACAGUAACUGACGUUGAGGCUCGAAAGCGUGGGGAGCAAACAGGAUUAGAUACCCUAGUAGUC